rnacentral:rRNA from 1 species
AGUGAACGCUGGCGGUAGGCCUAACACAUGCAAGUCGAACGGCAGCACAGUAAGAGCUUGCUCUUACGGGUGGCGAGUGGCGGACGGGUGAGGAAUACAUCGGAAUCUACUUUUUCGUGGGGGAUAACGUAGGGAAACUUACGCUAAUACCGCAUACGACCUACGGGUGAAAGCAGGGGAUCUUCGGACCUUGCGCGAUUGAAUGAGCCGAUGUCGGAUUAGCUAGUUGGCGGGGUAAAGGCCCACCAAGGCGACGAUCCGUAGCUGGUCUGAGAGGAUGAUCAGCCACACUGGAACUGAGACACGGUCCAGACUCCUACGGGAGGCAGCAGUAGGGAAUAUUGGACAAUGGGCGCAAGCCUGAUCCAGCCAUACCGCGUGGGUGAAGAAGGCCUUCGGGUUGUAAAGCCCUUUUGUUGGGAAAGAAAAGCAGCAGGUUAAUACCCCGCUGUUCUGACGGUACCCAAAGAAUAAGCACCGGCUAACUUCGU